rnacentral:rRNA from 1 species
GAGUUUGAUCCUGGCUCAGAUUGAACGCUGGCGGAAUGCUUUACACAUGCAAGUCGAGCGGCAGCGCGGGGCAACCUGGCGGCGAGCGGCGAACGGGUGAGUAAUGCAUCGGAACAUGUCCUGUCGUGGGGGAUAGCCCGGCGAAAGCCGGAUUAAUACCGCAUACGUCCGAGAGGAGAAAGUGGGGGACCGCAAGGCCUCACGCGAUUGGGUUGGCCGAUGUCCGAUUAGCUAGUUGGUGGGGUAAAGGCCCACCAAGGCGAUGAUCGGUAGCUGGUCUGAGAGGAUGAUCAGCCACACUGGGACUGAGACACGGCCCAGACUCCUACGGGAGGCAGCAGUGGGGAAUUUUGGACAAUGGGGGCAACCCUGAUCCAGCCAUUCCGCGUGAGUGAAGAAGGCC